GGGGAAGUCUAGAGGUGGAAACAGGGAACAGGGGAAGUCUAGAGGUGGAAACAGGGAACAGGGGAAGUCUAGAGGUGGAAACAGGGAACAGGGGAAGUCUAGAGAUGGAUACAGGACACAGGGGAAGUCUAGAGGUGGAUACAGGGAACAGGGGAAGUCUAGAGGUGGAAACAGGGAACAGGGGAAGUCUAGAGGUGGACACAGGGAACAGGGGAAGUCUAGAGGUGGAUACAGGGAACAGGGGAAGUCUAGAGGUGGACACAGGACACAGGGGAAGUCUAGAGGUGGACACAGGGGAAGUCUAGAGGUGGAAACAGGACACAGGGGAAGUCUAGAGGUGGACACAGGGAACAGGGGAAGUCUAGAGGUGGAUACAGGGAACAGGGGAAGUCUAGAGGUGGACACAGGACACAGGGGAAGUCUA
ensembl:lncRNA